UACGGAGGGUGCAAGCGUUAAUCGGAAUUACUGGGCGUAAAGCGUGCGUAGGCGGUUCGUUAAGUCUGUUGUGAAAGCCCCGGGCUCAACCUGGGAAUGGCAAUGGAUACUGGCGAGCUAGAGUGUGUCAGAGGAUGGUGGAAUUCCCGGUGUAGCGGUGAAAUGCGUAGAGAUCGGGAGGAACAUCAGUGGCGGAAGGCGGCAUCUGGGACAACACUGACGCUGAGGCACGAAAGCGUGGGGAGCAAACAGG
rnacentral:rRNA from 1 species